rnacentral:lncRNA from 1 species
ACUCGGUGCCUGUUCCCUCUUGGAAUUAACCCAAGGAAAAGAGUCCUCUCAGCAAAACAAAGUUAGCUUGCUUCCUUGUGUGUGGCCUGCUUAUUUUAUUUUUUAGAGCUAUACUUCAGAAGUGCAGAGCAGCCUGAGGGCCCUUUUUCUCCAUUUUAUUUUGUGUGUCUUCUUAAAAAUUGUAUCUUGGCUAGAACUACUCUUUCUUCCUUGGUGGUUUUAUAACUCACAAGGUGAAUGGUGAUACCCUGAAAGAUCAACAGGAAUACCCUCAGGGUGGGAAUAUAAAUCUAGUCCCUCUUACUCUAUCCUGCCCAGAAGUGGAAAUAUGAUCCUUCCAUUAUAAAAUAAAGAAUGGUCCUAAGAUUUGAGAACUCCAAAAGGACUUAGUGUUACGGAAUAAAGGUGAACAACCAUUUGGGACUGUUUAUCUACUUGCUAUCUCUCUUUUGAGAGAGAAUAAUGUCUCAAGAGCUCCAUUCUCUGAUGCCUGCAGUAUGUUAUGAAUCAGUAGAGAAUCUUUCUGUCUGUGCUUGGAUCUUGGAAUUGUAUCCCUAAUAAAGUGCAAGCAAAUAGCUCCAGAAGCCUCAGCUCUGCUUUCUGCUGAACCCAAGUUAUAAAUAUGAUGCAGCAGAAAAACCCAAGGAGAUGGUGUCACUGAUGUCAUCCACAAAGCCUCCACACCUCUUUAUUGUCUACUGCUAAAUUUAAUGGAUGUGAACUUGGAAAAGCUCUAAGGCAGCCCAGGAAAAGGCAGACAAGAAACCAUCAUGAAUGGGUGCUGCAUGAGCAGAGAUUGUCAAGAAAAUGGGAUGGUAAUUUGCAUAGGUCCACAAAGCGAACAUUGAUUUGAAGUGUUCCUGUGAAUGGCCAGUAGACAGGAUAUAGAAACAGACAGGAAAUCAUAAAGUGGAGAAUGGUGUAUAAGAUGGAGUUUCAGCCUGGGGAAGUACAUAAAAUAAUGCCAUGUCAAGGUCAUAAGAACUUCGACAGUCAGGGAGAUGACAAAUAGAAAACUGAUUCAUAAAUCCUGAAAUAAAAUAUUACUACCUAAACUCUAAAUCAGAUGGCCACCAGGUCAAAAAUAAAUUACAAGGUGAAUCUAAUGUAGCUAUGUAAUUAAAAAUUGGCCAUGUUGAUGAGGCAAGAAAUUUUGGCAAUAACAGUAAUGAAGGUGUCAGGGCUCAGAAAAUGACAUGCCAAAUUAUGGCACUUUAGUGUGCUGAGUACUUUGAACUAAAGGAGAUUGGAAUGCCUCAGAAGCAAAGCCACUCUAUCCCCCACCUUUCUGUGUAGGUGUAUAGCAGAUGCAUCUGACAGCAAUAACUUAAGCAUACCCUGAGAAAGACCCUCAAGUCUAAGAAGAAUGUGUGUUUGGAGUUCUGAGCUAAGAAAUCCAGGAGUGGCAAACCUAGAGAUUCGCUCCUUGUCUAUGAAGGACAUAUGACCCCCUGGCCCAUGCCUUGGAAUGCAGGCCAUAUAGGGGAUUAAGGUCCUUUGUUUUGGGUUAUAUGGAGGUUGUUAGGUGGAGGGUGGUAGCAGGUUUUCAGUCCAGCCCACCACCACUGUACUGCCCCAUAUGUAAGUCCUCAGUAAACCCUAUGUGUCAUCUGCUGGUUCCGGGUCUCCUCUCUUCUUCCGCUUCUAGGACAUGGUGCUAUCCCUAUUGGAGUCAGUAGGUCUGGCACAACAGUAGGAGCUGGCCAUAAAGAAAUUCUCUGACCUACCUUGUCUGAUAGCAGGUCAUAAGAUCCUUAUUCCAGAGGGGUCCUGCCCCAUACCUGGGAGAAAGGAAUGCUACACAGAGGUCAAGGAGAAGCCAAACAAGCAGGACUUAAUGGGUUUCCCACUCCGUCUAUUGCCAUUAGAUCAUACAUUUUUUGUGUGGAAUCAUAUUUCUACAUGGUUGUCCAUUCUUCAUGAAAACUAAGAAUAAAAGUAGACAAUUUUCC